rnacentral:rRNA from 1 species
GAUAAACGCUGGCGGCGUGCCUAAUACAUGCAAGUCGAGCGAACGGACGAGAAGCUUGCUUCUCUGAUGUUAGCGGCGGACGGGUGAGUAACACGUGGAUAACCUACCUAUAAGACUGGGAUAACUUCGGGAAACCGGAGCUAAUACCGGAUAAUAUUUUGAACCGCAUGGUUCAAAAGUGAAAGACGGUCUUGCUGUCACUUAUAGAUGGAUCCGCGCUGCAUUAGCUAGUUGGUAAGGUAACGGCUUACCAAGGCAACGAUGCAUAGCCGACCUGAGAGGGUGAUCGGCCACACUGGAACUGAGACACGGUCCAGACUCCUACGGGAGGCAGCAGUAGGGAAUCUUCCGCAAUGGGCGAAAGCCUGACGGGGCAACGCCGCGUGAGUGAUGAAGGUCUUCGGAUCGUAAAACUCUGUUAUUAGGGAAGAACAUAUGUGUAAGUAACUGUGCACAUCUUGACGGUACCUAAUCAGAAAGCCACGGCUAACUACGUGCCAGCAGCCGCGGUAAUACGUAGGUGGCAAGCGUUAUCCGGAAUUAUUGGGCGUAAAGCGCGCGUAGGCGGUUUUUUAAGUCUGAUGUGAAAGCCCACGGCUCAACCGUGGAGGGUCAUUGGAAACUGGAAAACUUGAGUGCAGAAGAGGAAAGUGGAAUUCCAUGUGUAGCGGUGAAAUGCGCAGAGAUAUGGAGGAACACCAGUGGCGAAGGCGACUUUCUGGUCUGUAACUGACGCUGAUGUGCGAAAGCGUGGGGAUCAAACAGGAUUAGAUACCCUGGUAGUCCACGCCGUAAACGAUGAGUGCUAAGUGUUAGGGGGUUUCCGCCCCUUAGUGCUGCAGCUAACGCAUUAAGCACUCCGCCUGGGGAGUACGACCGCAAGGUUGAAACUCAAAGGAAUUGACGGGGACCCGCACAAGCGGUGGAGCAUGUGGUUUAAUUCGAAGCAACGCGAAGAACCUUACCAAAUCUUGACAUCCUUUGACAACUCUAGAGAUAGAGCCUUCCCCUUCGGGGGACAAAGUGACAGGUGGUGCAUGGUUGUCGUCAGCUCGUGUCGUGAGAUGUUGGGUUAAGUCCCGCAACGAGCGCAACCCUUAAGCUUAGUUGCCAUCAUUAAGUUGGGCACUCUAAGUUGACUGCCGGUGACAAACCGGAGGAAGGUGGGGAUGACGUCAAAUCAUCAUGCCCCUUAUGAUUUGGGCUACACACGUGCUACAAAGGACAAUACAAAGGGCAGCGAAACCGCGAGGUCAAGCAAAUCCCAUAAAGUUGUUCUCAGUUCGGAUUGUAGUCUGCAACUCGACUACAUGAAGCUGGAAUCGCUAGUAAUCGUAGAUCAGCAUGCUACGGUGAAUACGUUCCCGGGUCU